ensembl:snRNA U2 U2 spliceosomal RNA
AAAACUUUUUCAAAAUAAAAAAAUCUGUUCUUAUAAGUUUAAUAUCUGAUACGUCCCCUACCCGGGGACUACAUAUUAAAUUGAUUUUUGGAUCAAGGAGCUGUAGCCGGGGCUUGCUCUGUCCACUCCACGCAUCGGCCUGGUAUUGCAGUGUCUCCAGGAACGGUGUGCUUCCC